GCCGAAGUAGCUCAGUUGGUCAGAGCAAUUGUUUUGUAAACAAUAGGUCAAG
rnacentral:tRNA from 1 species